rnacentral:lncRNA from 1 species
GGCAUCCAUCGUGAGUGUCCAGCCUCGAUCCUUAUAAAUAAUUCAAUGUGGCGUCGCGUGUGCACGCGUGCGCCCGCCACGGCGGACAUCUUUUAUAGUUUCGAAGUGGAAAGAAAAAAAGGAACGCGAAGCCGAGGGGAAAUAAAAACACCAAGUCGCGGCCUCGUCAGUCGGCCAAGGCUGCGACCGGUGCAUGCGUGGGCGGAUGCACGAAGAACUCGAUCGUUCGAGGCGAUGCGAUCGAUCGAUCGAUCGAUCGUGUCCGUUCCCGCGAUUUUCGAACGUUCCGUGAUCGUCCAACGAUCGAUCCACGUCCACUCGAUCAUUCCGCUCGAUUCGUUCGAGUGUGCGACGUACAAGGUGCACGUGCACUUCGAUUCAACGCGCAUCAUCGAUGGGACGGACGAUGGUAUUACUCAACUGCGUACCGUGUAGAAAAUCUCGGCGCCAUGUUGAUGGUUCUUGUCAGCGGAUGUUAUUGUCGAAUUGGAUUUCCAUUGUAAUUUUUAGUGGCUAACAAUAGAAACGGGAGUAAGGAAAUCUUUAUCACGGAUUUGGUUGAUUUUUCUUUUUUAAUAUUUUAAUAAUUUAGCGAAAGAAAUAUCGUAUGGAAUGUUGGUACGGUUCGAUUUGAUCUCGAAUCGAACCAUGGGUCAAGGCUGUUUAUUCCGAAACGUAGGCGGAUCAUGUCGACGGAAAAUGUGCUAAAUCGACCGUUUUUAUGAUAUAGCCGGCGGCUAAUUCGAUUUGCAUAAUAUCGACGAUUUAUAAUCAACAGAUUGCUGUUUCAUCGAGAUAUAAUUAUUUAAUACAUAUGUGUAUUGAUUUACUUUAUACGUGAUUAUUAUGAUAUUUUUUCGCUCAAAAACGAAAUUCGAAACAUCCAACACGUAACGAGUAAUCAAAUUUGAUUUUUCUAUUCUACAUGAUAAAUUCUACAAUUCUAUAUAAUGUGCAUUGAUAAAUGAAAAUUUCCAUCAUUAGAAAAUUGAAAAAUGCAAAAUGUGCAAUAUAUUAUAUUCUAAAUAAGAAAUUUCUGAAAUAGGAUUUUGAAUAAUGGAUUUUUUGAUGACUAAAGGAGACUAUAAAGGAUAUUAAAAUAUCAAGUAGGAGUCAAGGAGUGGAGGCGUCAAGGACAUUUCAAGAUCAGUUAUGUUUCUACAAAUAGUACUUAAUGCACAAAGUCUUGAGUUUACUUCGGAUCUAGUCAGUCAUAUUAUAUAAUAAUCAUAAAAACAUCACUUUGACUUUGAAAUGCUUUUCAAGUCUCCAUCUAUUUAUUUUUCUCUUUUGAAUUUUAAUAUAGUUAGGUUAGAAUUAACAAAAAUUAAAGAAAGUCAAAAAAACAUUUUAAAAUAUUAAAGAGAAUAUUGAGAGAAUAUUGGAGAAAGCUGUUAAAAGAUAUUUCACAAGAAACUCUGCAUACAUGGCACAAAAUAGAUAUUACUAAAUAUCAAAUAUCAUUUAACAAGACACAAACUUUUAAAUAUAUCUAACACACCUGCCAUUUAAUAUUCUAUAUAACAUCUUUUAUAAUCUUUAUUGCAUGAGUCUUCAUGGGUUACGAUAUUAACAAUGAAAUGAAAACAUUCCAGGAAACGAAUAGAAUAUAAUUGCUUUCGAUUAUAUUGAAUUCUCUCUUGCUGCUCGACCAUAUACCGAAGACACGUUAAUAAGACAAUUAUCUCUCUAAAAAGAGAAGAAGAAAAAAUAGCCUUCGAGAGUUUUGCAAAACAAAAAAAAGAUAACUUAUAAAAAGAUAUCGAACUGCCAACGAAAGAAAUGUCACUAUGCAUAUUUCUUGGACAUCGAUUCGUGAAGAAGCCCGUCAUUAAACAGCAAGGUUGAAAAGCAAAGCGUGAACGAAACUUGAUACGUGCUGUGAUAAUAUCAUCGAGUUGAUCGAAAACUUUGUGCUAACGGAUAUAAAUAAAAUUAAUGAGAUUAUGCUUUCGAAACAUGGACUGGCGCUCGGACACGGUUAAUUGACGAUCCCAAUUCUAAAAUCAAUAUGCUGAAGAAUAAUAUAUACGCAUGUUUCGUUAAUGGAGUCGCGAUCUUGAUAAAGACCACACGAAAGUUCGAUUAUGCGACUGAAAUGAAACGAGGAACGCGCCUUAUCCCUGGCCAAUAAACGCGAAACGCCCUGAUAAGCCGCGAUACGGCGAACGACACCGAUAGUUCUUGAGUAAAGGUGAAAGGAAACUGGAUUUAAGCAUAUACGGAAUGAAACCGGUUUCAAUACUUUCCGAACCCCGUAAAGGAAACAUUUUCCUGUGUGCUCGAAUGGAAAAUCAACAUGGAAUCCGCGUGAUUCCAGCAUAUGGCGAAUCUCUAGUGAUAAGAUGAAAUUACGAAAAAUAUAUGAUGAGAAUUGUUGAAAUAUUUAAACGAAAAAUAAAAAUUAAGCAUAUU